rfam:Ailuropoda melanoleuca scaffold24_96, whole genome shotgun sequence.
AGAUGUGAGGGCAAUCUGGCUGUGACAACUGUCACCCCGUUGAUCACCAGGGUUGAUUCAGCUGAUCUGGCUGGCUAGGCCAGUCUCCCCUUCCUCCCUCACCAUUCCAUGUGUAUACCUCCCAAAGCUAUGUACUCCUUUGAAGAGAACGACCUUCCUGGAUAGAGGAGGACUGUUCUUCGGUCAAGGGUAUACAAGUAGCUGCCCUCCCCUGCUGGAAACUCCAAACAAGCUCUCAAGAAAGUGAAAAGACAACCUAUGUUAUAGAAAAAAAUAACUGCAAAUCAUAUACCUGAUAAGGGUCAGUAAAU